AACCACAUAUAAUGAACUUCUUAUUAAAAAAAAAUCAAUAUUACUUUAGCCCUCCAUGUUUAGUGUAAUUAUGAUAUAUGAAUAAACAUGUUACACAUAGCAAAUUGUCAAAAAAUGUGAUGAUACAAAAUAGAAGAACCUUUUUACACCUACUGCAAAAAAUAGUUGGUUUUGUGCAUGUGACUUCCCUGCCAAUGGCCAAUUCACCACUGCAUUCUUCUCAUAU
rnacentral:lncRNA from 1 species